rnacentral:rRNA from 1 species
UCCCUACGGGGUGCACCAGGCGCGAAAACUUUACAAUGCUGGCAACAGCGAUAAGGGAACCUCGAGUGCCAGGUUACAAAUCUGGCUGUCGAGAUCCUAAAAAGCUCAGCAGCAUGCUUAGUUGAC